GGCUCGGUGGUGGAUGGUACCACGUCUGCUUUCAAUGCCGCAGCGAGGAAGCUCAAAGCAGGAGAAGCCCGUUCGAUCCGGGCCUGAGCCA